UGAGGGGGGCUGCUCCUAGUACGAGAGGACCGGAGUGGACGCAUCACUGGUGUUCGGGUUGUCAUGCCAAUGGCACUGCCCGGUAGCUAAAUGCGGAAGAGAUAAGUGCUGAAAGCAUCUAAGCACGAAACUUGCCCCGAGAUGAGUUCUCCCUGACUCCUUGAGAGUCCUGAAGGAACGUUGAAGACGACGACGUUGAUAGGCCGGGUGUGUAAGCGCAGCGAUGUGUUGAGCUAACCGGUACUAAUGAACCGUGAGGCUUAACCUUACAACGCCGAAGCUGUU
rnacentral:rRNA from 1 species